AUCUAUUCAGCACCAGCCAGACUGCCCCUAGCCAACCACCGGCCGCCAGCCUACGCCCACCACGCUCGCGGCUUCCGGCGGGCGCUUGGCACAGUCUCCAUUGCCGCUCAGCUCUGAUCCAGCAAUCGAGCUGAACAUUCGGAAUCCACUCAAAAAAUAAACAAACUCCAAAAUCAUUUGGAAAAGUGUAAAGGAAGCCAGCCUUCACCUAAUGUGGCUCGGGAGCUGCGCAGGCAGCGCGACCGCAGCCGCGCUACAUAAACCCGUCGCCCACCUGCGGCCCCUCCUCAGAGUCUCCGCCUGUUCCUCCACCCCCGCACCGCUCCACGCCCACGCCCACCCCACCGUCGCGGCUGGUCCGACCCGGGGCCCGGGCCCCAGCGCAGGCGUCGCGCCCACCGCGAUGCCGUCUUCCUCCUCCGCGCCGACGACGCCGCCGCCCGCCGAGGAGACGACCGCCGCCGCAGCCAGUGGGUUCCGCCUCACCGAGCCCUCCUUCCUCGAGUCGCUCAUGCCGAAGAAGGAGACCGGCGUUGACCGCUUCCUCGCCGCGCACCCCGAGUACGACGGCCGCGGCUCGCUCAUCGCCAUCUUCGAUUCUGGAGUUGAUCCGGCUGCAGCUGGGUUGCAGAAAACUUCUGACGGAAAGCCCAAGAUCCUUGAUGUUAUUGAUUGCACGGGUAGUGGUGAUGUUGACACGUCCAAAGUGGUGAAAGCUGAUGCUGAUGGUGCUAUAGUUGGUGCUUCAGGCGCUCGUUUGUCUGUAAACCCCUCAUGGAAGAACCCUUCUCAAGAGUGGCGUGUUGGCUGCAAACUAGUAUAUGAACUCUUCACGGACACACUUAUAUCUCGAUUGAAGAAAGAAAGAAAAAAGAAAUGGGAUGAAGAAAACCAAGAAGCGAUAUCCGGAGCUCUGAACCAGCUGAACGAGUUUGAAAAGAAGCAUAGUAAGCCUGAUGAUGCUAAACUGAAAAAGGCUCAAGAAGACCUGCAAAACAGACUUGAUUGCCUGAGGAAACAAGCAGAUGGUUAUGAUGACAGGGGACCUGUGAUUGAUGUUGUUGUAUGGCAUGAUGGUGAUGUGUGGAGGGUUGCAGUUGAUACUCAGGGACUUGAGGAUAAGAAAGAUAGUGGAAAACUAGCAGAUUUUGUUCCAUUGACAAACUACAGGAUUGAGCGAAAGUUUGGGAUUUUUAGCAAAUUAGAUGCUUGCUCUUUUGUAGCAAAUGUGUAUGAUGAUGGGAAUCUUGUCAGCAUAGUAACUGACUGCUCUCCGCAUGCUACCCAUGUUGCCGGCAUUGCAGCUGCUUUUCAUCCUGAAGAACCUUUGCUGAAUGGAGUUGCACCAGGGGCACAAUUGAUUUCUUGUAGAAUAGGAGAUACCCGCUUAGGAUCAAUGGAGACAGGGACAGGCUUGGUUAGGGCCUUGAUAGCUGCAGUAGAGCACAAAUGCGACCUGAUUAAUAUGAGCUAUGGUGAGCCUGCUCUUCUUCCUGACUAUGGAAGAUUCAUCGAUAUUGUCAAUGAGGUUGUCGACAAGCAUCGUAUUAUAUUUAUUAGUAGCGCUGGAAACAACGGCCCGGCUUUAAACACUGUUGGUGCACCUGGCGGGACUAGUUCAAGCAUUAUUGGUAUUGGUGCCUAUGUCUCACCAGCUAUGGCUGCUGGAGCUCACUGUGUCGUACAACCUCCGUCGGAAGGGAUGGAGUACACAUGGUCUAGUCGAGGUCCCACAGCUGAUGGGGAUCUUGGUGUCUCCAUUAGCGCACCUGGUGGAGCAGUGGCCCCUGUGCCAACAUGGACACUUCAGUCUCGCAUGCUCAUGAAUGGUACUUCCAUGUCAUCUCCUUCUGCUUGUGGUGGGGUUGCUCUCCUUGUUAGUGCCAUGAAGGCUGAAGGCAUUCCAGUAAGCCCUUAUACUGUGAGGAAGGCAAUCGAGAAUACAGCUUCAUCUAUAAGUGAUGUGCCUGAGGAGAAACUGACAACAGGACAUGGGCUUUUGCAAGUUGAUAGGGCUUAUGAAUAUGCGCGGCAAGCUAAGAAGUUGCCACUUGUUUCUUACAGAAUCUCAAUCAGUCAAGUAGGGAAGUCAAUUCCAAAACUAAGAGGAAUAUAUCUACGUGGGAGUAAUUCAUGUCAACAAACGAGUGAGUGGACUGUUCAACUUAACCCAAAAUUUCACGAUGAUGCGAGUAAUUUGGAGCAAUUGGUUCCAUUUGAGGAGUGCCUGCAGCUGCAUUCCACUGAUAGCUCUGUUAUUAAUAUUCCUGAGUAUAUAUUGUUGACAAACAAUGGUCGCAGUUUCAACAUUGUCGUCAAUCCUGUUAAUAUCAGUAGUGGCCUUCACUACUAUGAAGUUUAUGGCAUGGAUUGCAGAGCACCAUGGCGUGGACCCAUUUUCCGAGUGCCAAUCACAAUAAUUAAGCCUAUUGCUCUAUCAGGAGAGCCGCCAGUAUUGUCACUUUCCAAACUGUACUUCAAGUCAGGUCAUAUUGAAAGGAGGUUCAUAAAUGUGCCAAUUGGGGCCUCAUGGGCGGAAGUUACCAUGCGCACAUCAGCCUUUGAUACUCCUAGAAGGUUCUUUCUGGAUACUGUUCAGAUGUGUCCACUGAAGCGACCUAUCAAAUGGGAGUCUGUUGUUACUUUCUCGUCACCAUCUAUCAAGAAUUUCAGUUUUCCUGUUGAAGGUGGCUUAACUUUGGAAUUGUCUAUAGCCCAGUUCUGGUCUAGUGGAAAUGCUAGCCAUGAACCUACCUGUGUUGAUUUCGAGAUUGUGUUUCAUGGAAUUUCCAUUGAUCAGAAAGUAAUUGCCCUUGAUGGUAGUGAGUCACCUAUGCGUAUUGUUGCUAGAUCAUUAUUAGCAUCAGAAAGGCUUGUUCCUGUUGCCACUCUGAACAAGAUCAAGAUACCUUAUCGACCAGUGGAUUCUAACUUUUGUCCGCUUCCCAUCAGCCGUGAUAGAUUACCCUCUGGCAAGCAAAUUAUUGCACUGACUUUGACUUACAAAUUCAAACUGGAGGACGGUGCUGAAGUAAAGCCCCAUCUGCCCCUACUUAACAACAGAAUAUACGAUAAUAAGUUUGAGUCUCAGUUCUAUAGAAUUUCAGAUUCAAAUAAGUGUGUUUACUCUUCUGGUGAUGUCUAUCCUAGUUAUGUCAAACUUCCAAAAGGUGAAUACACACUGCAAUUGUACAUAAGGCAUGAAAAUGUGCAAAUCUUGGAGAAGCUGAAGCAAUUGGUUCUGUUUAUUGAGAGAAAACUAGAGAAGAAGGAUUGCAUUCAAUUAAGUUUCUACUCUGAACCUGAUGGUCCUAUGAUUGGAAAUGCCACCUUCAAGUCCUCUGUUUUAGUUCCCGGAGAACCUGAAGCAUUCUAUGUGGGUCCACCAUCUAGAGAAAAACUUCCGAAGGGUGCUCCACCUGGGUCUGUUUUAGUUGGUUCCAUAACCUAUGGUAUAGUAAGCUCAUUCAACAAGAAAGAUGAACAGCAUGCUCCAGCAUCUUAUAGCAUUUUGUGUAUCGUUCCACCAUCAAAGGUUGAUGAUACUAAAGAAAAGGGGGUUUCAGUUGAAACAAAGAAGAGUAUUUCUGAGAGGUUAAAUGAUGAGGUUCGAGACACCAAGAUAAAGUUUCUUUCGGGCCUUAAACAAGGCAAUGAGGACAACAAGUCUGCCUGGACCGAGCUUGUCGCUUCUCUUAAGUCUGAGUAUCCAAAAUAUACACCUUUGCUUGCCAAAAUUUUGGAAUGUGUACUUCAGGAAUCAACCUCUGAUGAUAAAAUUAACCAUCACAAAGAGGUUAUUGUUGCAGCUGAUGAGGUCGUGGACAGUAUUGACAAAGAGCAACUAGCAAAACUUUUGUCUUUAAAACCCGAUCCUGAGGACGAAGAAUCACAGAAAACUAAGAAAAAAAUGGAAGAAACACGAGACCAGCUAGCAGAUGCACUAUACCAAAAAGGUCUUGCACUGGCAGAGAUUGAGUCGUUAAAGCCUGAUGAGUCAACCGAUGCAUCUGCUAAAGAUGUUUUUGAGGAGAAUUACAAAGAAUUAAUUAAAUGGGUUGAUGCCAAAUCUACAAAAUACGGCACUCUGACCGUUUUACGUGAGAGGCGCUGUGGAAGAUGUGGCACGGCACUCAAGGUUCUAAACGACAUGAUUCAAGAGGACUCUGAGCAACCAAAGAAGAAGUUAUAUGAUCUGAAGAUCCAGCUGAUUGAGGAGAUAGGAUGGGCACAUGUAUCAGCUUAUGAAAAGCAGUGGAUGCAUGUCCGCUUUCCCCCAUCUCUGCCUCCCUUUUAAUUGGGUAUGCUUACCAUUUAUUCUGGCAUCAGUAGGUUCAGUACUUUGUGUCAUUGUUGGAUGCAACAUUUGUCAUUUCAGGGAUCUUCCAUUUGACAUUUUAAUUCUUGAAACGGUAAUAAGGCAUGCAAGCGCGGCCACAUUGGAUUCUCUGUUCGUCCAUUUUUGCUUGCUCGUCGAAUUCUUCACCUGGAUAAUUUAGGUUAUCGAUUGUAGUUCCUUUGAGUGACCGCAUGAUUAAGCUGCUCAUAGCCUCGUAUACGCCUGAACUUUAGUUUGAGGGCAUGUAGGGGCAAUAGUAAAACCAUUUUCCCAAAAAAUGAGCUAGUAGACUACUCCCUCCACCCCAAAAUAAGUGUCUUAAGUUAAGUGUCUCAAUUUGUACUAGCUAGUAUUAAACUGAUUCAUAAAAGUUUGCGACAAGACAAUUGGCGGUCUACUGGUGGCACCUUUGGCGUCGAGCUGCCAUCCAUCUGCUCCCUCUGUCCAUCAUUGUGUUGCUCCAGACGUUGACUUUUUGUUGCUGUGCAUGCUCAACUCCUUCCCAUGGUGUUCUUUGUGUUGAGGUGAGAUUUGUGGCUAGCAGAUUUGUGUCCCUUGCGUUCUCAGUUGAUCUUUGCUCUUUGUUGGCGUAUGAAGCCCACCCCAUCUUGCAAAAUGCUCCGGUUGUCCUUUUGGUGGAGCUUGCAGUCAAGUUUAAUGUUCAUCGGUGGUCUCACGGUUUGUAUUGCUUGCACCUUGUGGGUCAAUGCCGCUGACACUUGUUGAUUGACUUUACCCCAGUAUUGUGUUAUGGGGAUAGUUGUAUGCGGGUGGUGCUGUGCCAACUUGCAAGGUCUCGAUAUUGUGAUAUCCUCCCACGGCACACUCCAUUAGUGUCUGUUGACACCAGAUUUUGGCACAGUCAAGAACUUAUUUAAAAUGGCCUCAAAUGGAGAAGUGUUCUAUAUGAAAAAGUUUCGUAUUGUCGAUACGAACAUCUUUGAAGUUUGGGCCAUCGCCAUCUGAUCUCAUCUCGAAGGCCGAAGUUGUGUUCGAAAUACUGAGAUUUUGUAUUCAGAACACUAUUCGGCACAUUACGCCCCAAGACUGC
rnacentral:rRNA from 1 species